GCCUUGUGGUUCCUACAGUCAGCUGAAGUGCUGAGCUGUGGGUUUUUGUAAACGGGCGCACAUUGAUUCUGCGAUUUGAUGCAUGGGAGCUGCCAGUAUAGCAGCCUUCCAUAGCCCGGUUGCAGAAACACUG